rnacentral:rRNA from 1 species
AAGACUGGGGCAGCUACCAUGCAAGUCGAGCGGAAACAAAAGUACUUGCUACUCUGGCGUCGAGCGGCGGACGGGUGAGUAAUGCUUGGGAACAUGCCUUGAGGUGGGGGACAACAGUUGGAAACGACUGCUAAUACCGCAUAAUGUCUACGGACCAAGGGGGGCUUCGGCUCUCGCCUUUAGAUUGGCCCAAGUGGGAUUAGCUAGUUGGUGAGGUAAUGGCUCACCAAGGCGACGAUCCCUAUCUGGUUUGAGAGGAUGAUCAGCCACACUGGGACUGAGACACGGCCCACACUCCUACGGGAGGCAGCAGUGGGGAAUAUUGCACAAUGGGCGCAAGCCUGAUGCACCCAUGCCGCGUGUGUGAAAAAGGCCUUCGGGUUGUAAAGCACUUUCAGUCAGGAGGAAAGGUUAAUAGUUAAUACCUGCUAUCUGUGACGUUACUGACAGAAGAAGCACCGGCUAACUCCGUGCCAGCAGCCGCGGUAAUACGGAGGGUGCGAGCGUUAAUCGGAAUUACUGGGCGUAAAGCGUACGCAGGCGGUUUGUUAAGCGAGAUGUGAAAGCCCCGGGCUCAACCUGGGAACUGCAUUUCGAACUGGCAAACUAGAGUGUGAUAGAGGGUGGUAGAAUUUCAGGUGUAGCGGUGAAAUGCGUAGAGAUCUGAAGGAAUACCGAUGGCGAAGGCAGCCACCUGGGUCAACACUGACGCUCAUGUACGAAAGCGUGGAGAGCAAACAAGAUUAUAUCCCUGGGUACUCA